UAGGGAAUCUUCCACAAUGGACGCAAGUCUGAUGGAGCAGCGCCGCGUGAGUGAAGAAGGUUUUCGGAUCGUAAAGCUCUGUUGUUGGUGAAGAAGGAUAGAGGCAGUAACUGGUCUUUAUUUGACGGUAAUCAACCAGAAAGUCACGGCUAACUACGUGCCAG
rnacentral:rRNA from 1 species